GUCUGUGACUCUGAAAUCACCGCGGUGAUGCACCGGACAAGUUCAGAGCUGUUGCAUUUCACUGCGAGAAGCGCUGUCCCUUUCCAUAGACCUGCCCCCGCCCCCACCCCGGGGCUCUGAUUCAGCCUCCGGGCUCAUUUCAUAAUUGGUCUCAUUUUCAACCCCUCCUCGGCUCUUACGUCCGUGUGGCCUUUGAAAUCUUGAAUUUCCACUCCGGGGCUCUUGCCUUGUUGUGUCGUGAAACCACAAUCUGUGGUUUUAAAGCCAGCUGGGCGCGCUGAGCCAGGUGUGCCUAAUGAGUCUGCAGAUACAACAAGGAGUGGGGCUGCUGUAAAACUGAAGCUUGCUCAUUGGGCUCUUUCUCAAAGGACGGCGUGACUGUUGGAUUCUUCUGGAUUAAGCUUUUGGAUAGUAAACGGAUGUUCUUGUCCAGAAAACCCACUGAUACCUGGCAUUGGGUGUUGUGUUUUAUAUAAACAUAAGGAGAGAAGAAA